rnacentral:rRNA from 1 species
GACGAACGCUGGCGGCGUGCUUAACACAUGCAAGUCGAACGGAGUGGCGAACGGGUGAGUAACACGUGGGUGAUCUGCCUUGCACUUCGGGAUAAGCUUGGGAAACUGGGUCUAAUACCGGAUAGUGCAAGAUGAGCUCGCGGCCUAUCAGCUUGUUGGUGGGGUAAUGGCCUACCAAGGCGUCGAAGGGUAGCCGGCCUGAGAGGGUGUACGGCCACAGUGGGACUGGGAUACGGGCCAGACUCCUACGGGAGGCAGCAGUGGGGAAUAUUGCACAAUAGGCGGAAUCCGGAUGCAGCGACGCCGCGUGGGGGAUGAAGGCCGUUGGGUUGUAAACUCCUUUCGACAGUUACGCGGUACCUGUAUAAAAAGCACCGGCUAACUACGUGCCAGCAGCCGCGGUAAUAC